UAACCAGUAGAGGCGGUGCAGCGCACUGGGGCCACUCAUAUGCGCCAGAGGAAGUCAGCAAGCGCCUGUGACGGGAGCGGGUUGUUUGAAUCUUGUUUUGGUCUUUUUCAUAACACUUCCGGUGCGGAGAUGGAAGAAUUGUUGGUCAGCUCUCAAUCAGCCAAUGAGAGCACAGGGCAGGUGAACAUGGGGGCGGGGCUUCAGGAUGGGGGCGGGGCCAGCCAGUGGAGCCCUUACUGUAAAGAGGACCUGAUGAGAGGAGGGGAGGAGCUGUGCUUCGAGGAGCUGCGGGCCGAAAGAUACAACCAGCAGAAACAGAAGGAGAUGGAAGAGAAGAUGAGACGCCUGAAGGAGCAGCAGGAGCAGUUGAGUCAGGAGCUGGAGGAGAAGAAGAGGCUGCUGCUCAGAAAGUCCCAACAGAUCAGCAACGCAGAUCCACCUGCUGCUGCUCCCUUCAAAAUACUGGAUGAGUCUGGUUUCGAAGAGUCCGCCAGGAGGUCGGAUCCGUCCUCAGACGAGCUGCCAGAUGACGUCUUCCUGCGACCCGAUGAGAAGGGACUCUGUGUGAGGGUCCAGUUUCCAGCCCGACCCGAACAGAACCACCAGCAGAACCGGCCACCAGGUCAGCCCAGUUGGGCCGAGCGGGACCUCCGGGCCGAGCGGGACCUCCGGGCCGAGCGGGACCGGGCCGAGCGGGACCUCCGGGCCGAGCGGGACCUCCGGGCCGAGCGGGACCUCCGGGCCGAGCGGGACCUCGGUUCCCAGGAAAGCGUCUCUCAGCCCAAAAAGCAGCUGAGCCCCAUAGAGGAGAUCAGUGUGGAAGCAGCAUCCCUCACUUCUCCUGGAGAACCGUUCGGGGGAAACUCCAGUCCACUGGACCAGAACCAGCACCAGGAGCAGCACCAAGACCAGCACCAGCAGCAGCACCAAGACCAGCACCAGGAGGGUCUCAGUCGGUCUCAUGAUCCCUGCGACCCGGAAGUCCGCAGACAGCUGUUGGAGCUUUUUGACAUCACUUCCUCUCCAAACGUUCAUUCGGAGCAGCGCCCCCUGCCUGCUGUUGAGGAGUGCAGCGUUCUGGACCUCGGGGGCGACACAUUCUUCAUUCGAAGUAGACUUUUGGACAGAGGCAGCGUCUCCAUCUUCAGAGCAGCUGCAGAAAAUCAGUCUGUGUUUAUAAAGGUGGAGCGCUGCUCAGCCCCCUGGGAUUUCUACCUGUUCACCCGCCUGAAUGAGAACUCGCCGUCUGCCGACAGAGCUGCUCUGAUCAGCUGCUUCCGGUUUGAGGACGGCUGCAUCACCGUCUACAGGCUGCCAGCAGACCACCAGCUCACUGUGAGACCACUCAGUUGUAUCGGACUGCGGUCCGGAUCCGGCGUGCGUCGGAGCGAAAGCCGUCAGGCUGCUGGAGCUGGUGCUGCAGCUGCACGGCCGCAGCCUGCUGCAUGCGGGGCUGCGGCCCGGCAUCCUGGCCUCCUGCGGCGCCGCCGCGUCCCAGGACUGGAUCUUCCCGCUGGACUGGUCGUCCUCGCUGGACCUGGAUCUGCAGAAAGACGUCCGGUCCGUCCAGCAGAUCCCGUCCGCUCAGGCCUACCUCAGGCUGGGUCUGCUGCAGCCCGCCGACCCGCCUCACACCGUGGACCUGGUGGGCGUGGCUGAAACCAUCUACUUCCUGUUGACCAACAGCGAGAUGAAACCAGAGAAACGCGGCAGCAGCUGGACAGUGGAGCACGACGUCGUCACGACGGCCUGGCGAAGGUUUUUCGGUUCGCUGCUGAACGCCGGCGGUCGCUCUUCCACCUCCAUCCUGUCGGAGCUGAAGGACGAGCUUUCCGAGCUCUAUCUGUGAAGCAUCCAUGUUGUCUGUUUGAUAUUUGGUUUCAUUAAUAAAGGAAAACACUAUUUGUUGCA